rnacentral:misc_RNA from 1 species
AAGUCGUAACAAGGUUUCCGUAGGUGAACCUGCGGAAGGAUCAUUAGUGAAUCUUCAAAAGUCGGCUCUGUGGAUUGUGCUGGUGGAGACACAUGUGCACGUCUGCAAGGUCGCAAACCCCACACACCUGUGCAUCUAUGACUCUGAGUGCCGCUUUGCAUGGCCUUGACCGGCCUGGCGCUCGAGUACUUUCACACACUCUUGAAUGUAACGGAAUGUCUUGUUGUGCAUAAUGUACAAACAGAAACAACUUUCAACAACGGAUCUCUUGGCUCUC